AUGGGCUUUGGCAUACACACAUCUGCUUCAAAGAACAGCCAAAAGAAGGGGCCUGCGGUACUAAUCAAGAGGGUGUUCCGGUGUGUCCAUGACGGGAAGCCCGAGAAUAAGACCGAUAUUAGCAGUGCUUCGGAAGCAAUCUCAAUGGAACAACACUCAUCAAGCAAAGAAUCUUGGUUUGAGAUGGAUGUCACAAACAAGCGUCAGAAAAAUAGAUUGGUCCAUCAUGAUUGCAAAGCACACUUGAUAGUUGGGCUGCGGGGCAAUAAACGGGUUGUUUCAUAUUUCGUUACAGAGCAUACCCACCAUCUGAUGCCACAGCCAGAGUGUGUACAAUUCUACCGCUCACACCACAACAUUCCGCAAGAGGAUUUGGACCUCAUAUUGACAAUGCAUGAUGUGAACUUCUUCACAUCAUCGUGCAUGGGAAUGCUUGGGAGGGUUCGUGGUGGAGACCGGAGGAUGCUGCCAUACGUCAAGAAGGAUGUUACAAAUUUUCUUUGA
rnacentral:rRNA from 1 species